UAUUAUUCUUAGAUAAGUUUAUUCCUAGGUUAGUAAUAGAUAUUUACUUAAAAGCUAAAAAAUUUGGCGGUAAUUUAAUCUUUCCAGAGGAACUUGUUUUUUAAUCGAUAAACCUCGAAAAAUCUUACUUAUUUUAGUAGAGUUUGUAUACCGCCAUUAUCAGGAAAUUUUUAAAAAAGAAAUUUCUAAGCUUAGAAUUAUAUAAAAAUUAGGUCAUGGUGCAGCUAAUAUUUAAGUUAAAAUGAGUUACAAUAAAAUUUUUUAUACGGAUAAUUUAAGAAAGUAGAUUAUGAAGGAGGAUUUGGUAGUAUUAAGAAUUUAAUAUGUUCUUAAGAUGAUAGCUCUAAAUUAUGUACAUAU
rnacentral:rRNA from 1 species